AUCUGAGGACAACUUAUAUAAUAUCUGAUGUCACAAAACUUAUGUUCAAGGACUCCCAAAGGAACCCAGAAGAUCAAUUUACCAGUACACAGUUUUUUAACCAUAGGUACAUCAUCAGGUUUAGGAGGAGGCUGAGUUUUUGUAGAAGCUGUAACCAGUGUGACACAGCAAACUGGAUGAAGAUAUUUGGAAAAGGGACUAAGCUCAUAGUAACUCCCUCUGAUGGCAGCCUUCCUGCAGCCAUUCCCCCCAAGCCCACCAUUUUUCUUCCUUCAAUUGCUGAAAUCAACCUCCAUAAGGCUGGAACAUAUUUGUGUCUUCUUGAGAAAUUCUUCCCUGAUGUUAUCAAGGUAUACUGGAAAGAAAAGAAUGGGCAUACAAUUCUGAAAUCCCAGCAGGGAAAUACCGUGAAGACUAACGACACAUACAUGAAAUUCAGCUGGCUGACCGUGACUGGAAAGUCAAUGGAUAAAGAACACAGAUGUAUUGUCCAACAUGAGAAUAAUCAAAGAGGGAUUGACCAAGAGAUUCUUUUUCCUUCAGUGAACAAAGUUGUCCCCUCAAUGGCCACUACUGUUGGUUCUACAACGGCUUAUACGACAGAACAAAGCACUGUCACUCCUAUUGCAUCUACAACAGCUUCCCCAACAGAGCAAACUGUUGUCACCUCAAUGGCCACUACUGUUGGUUCUACAACGGCUUAUACGACAGAACAAAGCACUGUCACUACUAUUGCACCUACAACAGCUUCCCCAACAGAGCAAACUGUUGUCACCUCAAGGGCGACCACUAUCGGUUCCACAAAGGCUUACACGACAGAGGAAAGCAAGGUCACUGCUGUUUUUUCUGCAAAAGAUUUCUCAAAAGAGGAAAGUGAGGUCCCUGCUAUCAACUCCACAAAAGCUUGUUGGAAUGGUGAAAGCAACGCCCUGCAGCUGCAGCUCAGCAGCACUUUGGCCUGUUACGCCUACCUCCUCCUCCUCAUCAUGAGCGUGGUCUACUCUGCCAUCAUGGCCUUCUGUCUGUUGAGGAGAGCAGCAGUCUGUGGCAACGGAAAGAGUUUGUAACAGCUGGUGGCACAAAGAAGGCAACUUUCCUCCAUUGUUUAUUUUCCCUAAAACUGUCUGCCAAGGAUCUAUUUGGGGUUUCUCUCUUUGUAUGGGUUAUUUCAGUUCAUGGGGUAUUUUUCUGUUAUAUCAACGUUAGAAAAUAGUUUUCUAAACCACUGGGCAACCAGAAAAUCUUAUUCUGUAACAACGAGUUCUGCCAUUUCUCAGGGGCAGGGCCACAGGGUCGUCUUUCAGCAUCACACUCUCCAGCAUCUCCAUCAGCUCCUCCAGGACUCAAAUAAUCAUGCCUUCUGAGUACAGACAACAUGCAGCUCUAGUUAUGUCCCUUAGGGCCAUUAAACCAGAUGACCUCCUUGAAGCCUUCCAUUUUACACAUCCUUAAGCUACCAUUGUUGUUUCUUGAAAAGUCUGUACAUUGUUUUUCAUAAUAGGCACAAUAAAAGAAAUCAAGAGUCUA